CACCUUGUGACAAACCUAAGCAACUUCAAAAAGGCCGGUGAGAAGAUGAUGAAUAACAGUAAGUACCGGCUCUUCUGGACUCCUUGUGCGGCCCAUUGCAUUGAUCUAAUGUUGAAGGAUAUGGGGAAGUUAAAGU